CCUCCUAACUCUUCUUCAGUUCUGCUUUUUUGAAGUAGCUGGAGAGAUUUCAGAGGCAACUUCAAUCAUGAGGUUUCUUUUCCUCGCCUUUGCUUUGCUGCUUCUCUUCUAUGUAUCUUCAGGGCAAUUACGAAACUGUUAUUCGGAUGGUGGUUUCUGCCAGACUGGUCUUCAAAAAGAAUGCGAGUAUGGAAGUCUCCCAUACAACUGUGGCAUUAAUGCCCUCUGCUGCAAGCGUGGACCGUGAAACCACCAAUGAAAAGCACCAGUGAAACCCUGGGAGGUUAUUGCCAUCUUCCCUAACAAGAAUCUUGCCUCUCUAGUGUGAAAUAUUCGGCAAUUGUGAUAUUAAUGAAAGAUGUUGCAAACUGUUACAUAACAGCAAGCAGUGAAACAACAUUGUGAUUAAACAAUUUAAUGAAUUUGGACCACA